AGAGUUUGAUCCUGGCUCAGGACGAACGCUGGCGGCGUGCUUAACACAUGCAAGUCGAACGAUGAAGCCCAGCUUGCUGGUGGAUUAGUGGCGAACGGGUGAGUAACACGUGAGUAACCUGCCCUUGACUUCGGGAUAACUCCGGGAAACCGGGGCUAAUACCGGAUAUGAGCUACCUUCGCAUGGGAGUGGUUGGAAAGUUUUUCGGUCAGGGAUGGGCUCGCGGCCUAUCAGCUUGUUGGUGGGGUGAUGGCCUACCAAGGCGACGACGGGUAGCCGGCCUGAGAGGGCGACCGGCCACACUGGGACUGAGACACGGCCCAGACUCCUACGGGAGGCAGCAGUGGGGAAUAUUGCACAAUGGGCGCAAGCCUGAUGCAGCGACGCCGCGUGAGGGAUGAAGGCCUUCGGGUUGUAAACCUCUUUCAGCAGGGAAGAAGCGCAAGUGACGGUACCUGCAGAAGAAGCGCCGGCUAACUACGUG
rnacentral:rRNA from 1 species